UUUAAUACCACAUCAUAAAAUGUUUUAAAAAUUCAGAGGUCAAUAUCUUGACUGUGGCAAUAGAUACACAAACUUACAAGUGUGAUAAAACUAAUGAGAACACACACACACGACUGCAUGUGAACCUGGAGGAAUCUGAAUACGACCAGUGGAUUGAAUGGUGUUGAUAUCCUGGCUGUGACAUGGUACUAUCACUUGCAAAAUGGUAACACUGGGGGAAACGGGGCAAAAGCCACAAGGGAUCUCUCUUAUUAUUAUUUUUU
rnacentral:lncRNA from 10 species